rnacentral:rRNA from 1 species
GCGUUGUUCGGAUUUACUGGGCGUAAAGGGCGCGUAGGCGGCGUGACAAGUCACUUGUGAAAUCUCUGGGCUUAACCCAGAACGGCCAAGUGAAACUGUCGUGCUAGAGUGCGGAAGGGGCAAUCGGAAUUCUUGGUGUAGCGGUGAAAUGCGUAGAUAUCAAGAGGAACACCUGAGGUGAAGACGGGUUGCUGGGCCGACACUGACGCUGAUGCGCGAAAGCCAG